ACUCCUGCGGGAGGCAGCAGUGGGGAAUAUUGCACAAUGGGCGCAAGCCUGAUGCAGCCAUGCCGCGUGUAUGAAGAAGGCCUUCGGGUUGUAAAGUACUUUCAGCGGGGAGGAAGGCGAUAAGGUUAAUAACCUUGUCGAUUGACGUUACCCGCAGAAGAAGCACCGGCUAACUCCGUGCCAGCAGCCGCGGUAAUACGGAGGGUGCAAGCGUUAAUCGGAAUUACUGGGCGUAAAGCGCACGCAGGCGGUCUGUCAAGUCGGAUGUGAAAUCCCCGGGCUCAACCUGGGAACUGCAUUCGAAACUGGCAGGCUAGAGUCUUGUAGAGGGGGGUAGAAUUCCAGGUGUAGCGGUGAAAUGCGUAGAGAUCUGGAGGAAUACCGGUGGCGAAGGCGGCCCCCUGGACAAAGACUGACGCUCAGGUGCGAAAGCGUGGGGAGCAAACAGGAUUAGAAACCCUUGUAGUCC
rnacentral:rRNA from 1 species